AGAGUUUGAUCCUGGCUCAGGAUGAACGCUGGCGGCGUGCCUAACACAUGCAAGUCGAACGAGCGAGAGAUGAAACCUAGUGAUUCUCGAGCGAGUGGCGGACGGGUGAGUAACGCGUGGGUAACCUGCCUUACAGAGGGGGAUAACAGUCUGAAAAGACUGCUAAUACCGCAUAAGCACACAGUACCGCAUGGUACAGGGUGAAAAGAUUUAUCACUGUAAGAUGGACCCGCGUCUGAUUAGCCAGUUGGCAGGGUAACGGCCUACCAAAGCGACGAUCAGUAGCCGACCUGAGAGGGUGAUCGGCCACAUUGGGACUGAGACACGGCCCAAACUCCUACGGGAGGCAGCAGUGGGGGAUAUUGCACAAUGGAGGAAACUCUGAUGCAAGCGACGCCGCGUGAGUGAAGAAGUAUUUCGGUAUGUAAAGCUCUAUCAGCAGGGAAGAUAAUGAAGGUACCCAAGUAAGAAGCCCCGGCUAACUACGUGCCAGCCGCUGC
rnacentral:rRNA from 1 species